UCGGAGGAAGGACUCUGGGCUUCGGUAGCCACAAUGUAGGCUGGAGCCAGACUCCACCACCACCAGGGGAGGAACCACGGGCUCCUGUGACCCAUCGGAGCCCAGGACUGCCUGUGGUGAGGGACAGCGGCCCGCCAAGAGGUGUGUGGGAGCUACCAGCCACCCUCACCAGAAGUUAACCGGUGUCAAAGACACUACUGAGUUGUGACAGAGAUGCCCCAGUGCCUCGGACAAGACACAGGCCCGUCUCCGGCGGCUUCGGUUUCCCUUUCUCUGAGAUGGGAAUGGCAUGGCGCCGCGAGGAAGAUUCCAGCAGGAAGGUACUGGCAGGCAGCGGAGGCUACGCCCUGUCACUACGCCCACAGUGCAGCCCUGGGACAUGCGCCCACUUCUCAGGCACACGAUCAAGGCUCAGGCGUGAGGCAACCACAUGCAGAGCUCACAGGAAGAAGACAUUUCUGUCUGCAGCCGCCUGUCCAGGGAGAUGACCACAGCGGGCUGCCACCUGGGAGAUGCCACCUGUGGAUCCAGACAGCCAUGGCUCACUGUGAACCUGCUCCCUCUGAACCUCCAGGCCUUGUCCCAUCCCCACCCCACCAAGUUCCUGUCCCUUUAAGCUCUACAGGAAGGGUCAACCUCCUGCAGUCCAACAGCCCUACCCUGCCUGGUCUCCUUCCUGUAAUCUUUCUCCACUGUUGCCUUAUUGCCUAGACGAAAAUGAUCAAAAGGUCCCAGGGAAAUGCUCAAAUCCAGGACCACCCUUCUAAGAUGCCCAUGUCCCACAUCAAAGCGCCUGGCUUCACGUCCCGGCCCCAAGCUCCAGCUUCCUGCUAAUCAGACCCUGGGAGGACUUGGACCACCUCCUGCUGCUUCCCCUGGCCAUCUGCAGGGAGCUGGAUCUGAAGUGGAGCAGCUGGGACAAGAACUGGCACCCAUAUUGGGACGCUGGUGUCACAGGCGGUGGCUUUACCCGCUACGCCACGAUACCUGCCCCCCUCUUUAUCUAUUUAAUGCAGCUACUGGAAAAGUCCAAGCUGCACGUGGCACACAUGAUGUCUCUAUUGGCUCGUGCUGGCUGGUGCUCUAAGAACCCUGCUGCUCGGACGCCCACGGGGACCGAUAGAUUUUUAAAGCUUUCAGAACAGGCAUUCGGUAUAGUGAUUGAU